UAACAAAACUACUGUAAGUCGCUCUGGAUAAGAGCGUCUGCUAAAUGACUAAAA
rfam:Salmo salar isolate Sally breed double haploid chromosome ssa03, whole genome shotgun sequence.